GUGAAUCAUCAAAUUUUUGAACGCAAAUUGCACUCUCUUCGGAGAGUAUGCCUGUUUGAGGGUCAGACUAAAAAAAAUCGACAUAGUUGUUGUUUCGCGGUGACAUUUUUCGGAAAUUGGGUCAUUUUUAUAUUUUGGGUUUUAAGCGGCUUAUAAUUUUAUUUACGAUUCUACGAAGGUUUCUAUGAUUUAUUUAUAUGUUUAAGGUAUCG
rnacentral:misc_RNA from 1 species